rnacentral:rRNA from 1 species
AGUGAACGCUGGCGGUAGGCCUAACACAUGCAAGUCGAACGGCAGCACAGUAAGAGCUUGCUCCUACGGGUGGCGAGUGGCGGACGGGUGAGGAAUACAUCGGAAUCUACUUUUUCGUGGGGGAUAACGUAGGGAAACUUACGCUAAUACCGCAUACGACCUACGGGUGAAAGCAGGGGAUCUUCGGACCUUGCGCGAUUGAAUGAGCCGAGGUCGGAUUAGCUAGUUGGUGAGGUAAAGGCCCACCAAGGCGACGAUCCGUAGCUGGUCUGAGAGGAUGAAAGGCAACAUUGGGACUUGAACGGGGUCCAGACUCCUGCGGGAGGCAGAAGUGGGGAAUUGUGGGAAAUGGGCGAAAGCCUGAUAGAGAAAUGCCGGGUGAGGGAAGAAGGUCUUCGGAUCGUAAAACUAUGUGAUUGGGUAAGAAAAAAUUUCUAAGAAGCGGUGGACGUCUUGACGGUAACGAAUCAGAAAGCAACGGCUAACUAAGUG